UACGUAGGGGGCAAGCGUUGUCCGGAUUUAUUGGGCGUAAAGAGCGUGUAGGCGGUCAGGUAGGUCGGUUGUGAAAACUGGAGGCUCAACCUUCAGAGGUCGACCGAAACCCCCUGGCUAGAGUCCGGGAGAGGAGAGUGGAAUUCCUGGUGUAGCGGUGAGAUGCGCAGAUAUCAGGAAGAACACCCGUGGCGAAAGCGGCUCUCUGGAACGGUACUGACGCUGAGACGCGAAAGCGUGGGGAGCGAACAGG
rnacentral:rRNA from 1 species